CAACAGCAUAAACAUGACAAUGGUCUCUUUCUGGUCUCUUUGCACGUAUCAUGCAAGAGCUGUCGGCUCUAUGACAUUGAAGUUGAAAGACUGGAUGCAACUUUACCCAGACAAGACACUUGAAAGUAUACACACACUGUAUAUAAUCUUCAGAUAUCAGGUGUGUGAAUUUAAUUCUAA